rnacentral:misc_RNA from 1 species
AUUGGCCCAAAGGUUUAUCAGCUAUCUCGCUCUCUUCGCUAUUUCUCUUUGAAUUGAGUGUUUUGGGCUCUUUCUCUUUUUGGAUCUUUUGUUUGACUAUUGCUAAUUUAAUUGCCUAUACCCAAUACUUGAAGUGUCAUAUAUUUUUAUCUGAUUUCCACCUUUGGGGAUUUUUUUUUUUCCGAAAAUUUUGAUAGUUUAGCAGAAUUUAUAUCAAUAAUUGCA